AGCCUCAAGCCCAAGGCAGAAGACCUAUCUGCAUUUGAGCCCUGAAACUCACCUUGCAGAGCGCCAAGUCCCGAGUGGCCUUCUUUGAAGAGCUCUAGCAGGUGCCCAGCCACCCCAGGAUCUGUCACAUCUGCUGCUUCCCGGCACCAGAGGGAUGGGUCAGACACCGUGGGAGUCAUCGUAGGUGGGCUGGCUGGGAGCUUCCGUGGGAGCUCUGGAACUUUCCCCAGCUGAGUGGAGAGCCCAACCCCCUUCAUGUGCAAUUGCCUUGAACUGUGACCUGCAGAGAGCUCUCUCGUGGGGUUCUAGUUCUUUUUAAAAUUUUUAAAAGAAGUAUUUGUCUUUCCUCAUCUGACGUGGGGUUUCAUACUUCCUUUGUCAAAGGCACCCUGGGGUGUGUGUCUCACUGUCCAGUGCUGACCUUCCCAGCUCAGGGAAGUGGUUGUAGGGAGUGAAGUGCACAGGAGCCCUGGAGACAGGGAGGCUGGCGCCACUGCCCCCGCCCUAUGCUGGGUCCCAGAACAUUCAUCUCCACUGGUGAGGAACCGGCAUGCGAAGAAGUGUGGCCCGCCCAAGCCCAGGCCCGGAGCGGCCUGCCUGCUGGCCUGCCUGCUGCACAUCAUCGCUGAGCUGGCCUGUGGCUCAUGACAGGCCACGCGAUGGGUCUUCAGCCCAGGCGCCCCCGAGGCCGCGCGCUGGCUGCCGGCUGGUGGGGAAUGGGAAAGGCAGCUGUGAAGGGGGAAGACUCUAGGCAGAAGCUGUGAUGACGGGCUGGCUGCCAGCAGAGGGGCAGGGAGGCCAGCAGAGCUGUGUAGGAAUCUGCUCCACACAGAACACUCACUCCCCUUCUGCUGCCUCAGACCAGGGUCCAAGCGGCAGGCGGGAGCUGCGUCUUCCUCACCCCCUCAGCCUUAGUCUUUCCUGCCUGUGGCGGGCUGGGGAACUCCCCGGGCUCUUGUAGUCAGCCCCUGAGCCCCGCCGGGCUCUGUUAGGGCUCUGAGGCCCCUCAGGUACUUCUUCUUGCUGAGGCCUCCGUCUCUGUGGCUGACCUGAAUCCCCUCUCCCUCUGGCCACGUGCCAGCAAGCCCUUCCUAAGCCUUGAUUGUAUUGGGCCUCCUUCUGGUGUUGCCCUUGUACCCCAGCCGGCCCUUUAUUUUAUAUGCCCCCUUGGCCAUGUGGGGUCCCUCGUGCCCCUCCCAGCACAAGCCAGGUGUCCCCUCCCUGUUGGUGCUCUGCCACUCGGGCAGCAGCAGGCCACAGAGCCACCCCCGUGGCACCAGCCGCCUUAGUUUGGGGCUACUUUGUUUGCUCUGUGGUUUGGUGGUGCUUCUGUGACCCACUGGCCAUUCAGAUCCUUCCAACGGGGCUGGUAUACAGAGCAGGAGUUAAGUCUGAACCAGCGAAAAGAGGCUUACUAAGUGAAGACAUGUGAAGGCCUGGAGAUUUCCUGAGAGUGGGGGUGCCUCUGGCUGUCCUGUGUGGUUUUGAGAAACUCAUAAAGAUCCUGCCUUCUCUCCACACUCAGGCCGACCUGACAGUGUCCCAGGCUGGCCACCCUGCUAUUUGGGGCCACCUUGCCCUGAGGAAGGCAGCCCUGUGGGUACCCAAGCCCCUUAGGGCCCCUUAGGGCAUGCAGGGUGGGAUGGCUGUGGCUGAAAGAGCUUCCUUGUGUCUCCCCGUCCCUCAAAUGCCUCUUCCCCCGAGAUGUGGUCCCAGGGAGGCAUUUGUAAUGUAGGGCCUGGCUCUUGUGUUGAGGCUCUGUCUCCCCAGGCUCACCAGCCAUCCCUGAAUUUCCAUGACAAGUUACUCUUCUCCUGACCUGUAAAUUGAAUCUGUAACAGUGGCUGUGGGCACAGGAGCAUGGUAGUGGUUUAUAUAAAUGUUGUCGGGCCUUGUUGUUUUUAUUAUUUAACUGCUGUGUGUGUGUUCCAAGUCCGGGAACUGCCGAGCCAUGUGGCCACAAGGGAGCCAGCUAGCAUCUGAGCUGUGGCAGGAGCACCCUGGGGCCCGAGAGCAGACUGGGGGAGGGGGGCAGCAGAGCCUCGCUCACCCAGGAACACUUCAGCUCUCCUUGGAGGCUGGAGAGGGUGGUGGCCCUCAGAAAGGCCUUGAGCCACAGUGGAAGGAAAAGGAAUGAAAGAGGAGCUCAGUUUUCAGGGACUCGUGCCUGUGGCUCAGGUGACCGUGCUCUUUUCAAGUGAACAUUUUGGGGGCACAGGAGCUUAUUAGGUAAGGAAGCCUCUGUGCGCCCCCUGAGAGCAGGGCCCUAGCCACAGCGAUUUCAUUACGGGCACUUCUGAGGGUUCUCAGGCUGCCCAGCUGGUGCCACCCCGUGCGGCCGCGCUGUUGGCCCUUCGCUGUCGCACACAGACCACCUCGUUCAUCCUGACUGGGGCCCUGCCUCAGCCCCAGCCACACUCUGACCUGUGGCGUCUGCUCAGUUAUCCCUGUACCUGCCAGGCCACGCUAGACAACACCCCGUGGCAUUACGUAACACUUCUUAAGUGACUGUGUUUUGUAAUCUUGGGGACAGGCUUCUCUCUCCCUCUCUUUUCUCUUACAAAUCAGAACAGCAAAUCCAGAGGCUGACAACCAGGGCAGGAACGGAGUGCUGCUCGCUGACAGGGCUGGGGCCUUGCAGCCCCCGGAGGGGCCGCCUCAGUGGGGAGACAGCCCCUCCCGGCUGCCCGGGGGCCAGGGUGGCCCCCGUGGGCUUCCAGGGAAGCUCCAUCCCUUUCCAAGAUGUCAAACCGCAUUUGUUCCAAGGCUAUUUUCUGUUCCGGGAGAUUGUUGUAAUUUAAAUGAUUGUUUUAAUAAAAAUUCUAAGCCGUCAAAAGUA